rnacentral:rRNA from 1 species
AGUGAACGCUGGCGGUAGGCCUAACACAUGCAAGUCGAACGGCAGCACAGUAAGAGCUUGCUCUUACGGGUGGCGAGUGGCGGACGGGUGAGGAAUACAUCGGAAUCUACUAUUUCGUGGGGGACAACGUAGGGAAACUUACGCUAAUACCGCAUACGACCUACGGGAGAAAGCAGGGGAUCUUCGUACCUUGCGCGAUUGUAUGAGCCGAUGUCGGACUAGCUAGUUGGCGGGGUAAAGGCCCACCAAGGCGGCGAUCCGUAGCUGGUCUGAGAGGAUGAUCAGCCACACUGGAACUGAGACACGGUCCAGACUCCUACGGGAGGCAGCAGUAGGGAAUAUUGGACAAUGGGCGCAAGCCUGAUCCAGCCAUGCCGCGUGGGUGAGGAAGGCCUUCGGGUUGUAAAGCCCUUUUGUUGGGGAAGAAAAACAGCAGGUUAAUACCCCGCUGUUCUGACGGUACCCAAAGAAUAAGCACCGGCUAACUUCGUG